rnacentral:rRNA from 1 species
AUUGAACGCUGGCGGAAUGCUUUACACAUGCAAGUCGAGCGGCAGCGCGGGGGCAACCCUGGCGGCGAGCGGCGAACGGGUGAGUAACAUAUCGGAACGUACCCAGUCGUGGGGGAUAACUAUCCGAAAGGAUAGCUAAUACCGCAUACGUCCUGAGGGAGAAAGCGGGGGAUCGCAAGACCUCGCGCGAUUGGAGCGGCCGAUAUCGGAUUAGCUAGUUGGUGGGGUAAAGGCUCACCAAGGCGACGAUCCGUAGCGGGUCUGAGAGGACGACCCGCCACACUGGAACUGAGACACGGUCCAGACUCCUACGGGAGGCAGCAGUGGGGAAUUUUGGACAAUGGGGCAACCCUGAUCCAGCCAUUCCGCGUGAGUGAAGAAGGCCUUCGGGUUGUAAAGCUCUUUCAGCAGGAACGAAACGGUGGUCCCUAAUACGGACUACUAAUGACGGUACCUGAAGAAGAAGCACCGGCUAACUACGUG